rnacentral:rRNA from 1 species
AUACGUAGGUGGCAAGCGUUGUCCGGAAUUAUUGGGCGUAAAGCGCAUGUAGGCGGUAAUUUAAGUCUGUCGUGAAACUGCGGGGCUCAGCCCCGUAUGGCGAUGGAAACUGGGUUACUUGAGUGCAGGAGAGGAAAGGGGAACUCCCAGUGUAGCGGUGAAAUGCGUAGAUAUUGGGAAGAACACCGGUGGCGAAGGCGCCUUUCUGGACUGUGUCUGACGCUGAGAUGCGAAAGCCAGGGUAGCGAACGGGAUUAGAUACCCCGGUAGUCCUGGCCGUAAACGAUGGGUGCUAGGUGUGGGAGGUAUCGACCCCUUCCGUGCCGGAGUUAACGCAAUAAGUACCCCGCCUGGGGAGUACGGCCGCAAGGCUUAAACUCAAAUGAAUUGACGGGG